rnacentral:rRNA from 1 species
GAAUUUUAUAUAAUUUUGUAUAGGUUUAAUAUAUUAGGUUAUAUUUGAUUGGGAGGAUAAUUAAAUUUAGUAAACUUUAAUAAGAAAAUAACUUUAAUUAAUGAAAAAGUUAAUAUUGAUUAAUUAAUAAUUAUAAUAAAGUAAAUUACCUUAGGGAUAACAGCAUAAUAUUUUUUUUUAGAUCAUAUAUAAAAUAAUGUUUAU